GCACCCUGCAAAGUCAAGAGUUUGAUUUAUAAUUUUUUUAACCAUUUUAAAUCAUUUAAUUGUGAAAUCGGUUUUAGCUAAAUCCCUAGAAUUUUACCAGCUCCCGGAUUUGCCUUUGAUUUAUUUCCCUUCGUUUGCUAAGUUGCGGAGGUUCGAAGCUGAGAAAUUUUGCGCCCUUCAUGGUUUAAAUUUUGGAAUUGAUGAGUCGCUCAUGGGAUACUUAACAGUUGGUUUUCCGGAAGUGAAAAUAUGGAUGGUUGAUGUUGAAAAACAGAAUACGAGCAAACAAGUCACCUGCCGAGUUUUUGACAAGAAAAAGGGUUCUAGUGGGAUAACCCAGGAGAACUGCCAAAAUAGAAAUAAUUUUGUGUGUGUUUUGCCGAAAAACUGCCAUAUGGACAGAUGCUCGACAAAUUGCUCUAAGGAGGCAU